GAUGAACGCUGGCGGCGUGCCUAAUACAUGCAAGUCGAGCGAACGGACGAGAAGCUUGCUUCUCUGAUGUUAGGGGCGGACGGGUGAGUAACACGUGGAUAACCUACCUAUAAGACUGGGAUAACUUCGGGAAACCGGCGCUAAUCCCGGAUAAUCUUUUGAACCGCAGGGUUGGAAAGUGAAAGUCGGUCUUGCUGUCAGUUCUAGCUGGUUACGCGCUGCAUUGGCUAGUUGGUAAGGUAACGGCUUACCAAGGGAACGAUGCAUAGCCGACCUGAGGGGGUGAUCGGCGACACUGGAGCUGAGACACGGUCCAGACUCCUACGGGAGGCAGCAGUAGGGAAUCUUCCGCAAUGGGCGGAAGCCUGACGCAGCAACGCCGCGUGAGUGAUGAAGGUCUUCGGAUCGUAAAACUCUGUUAUUAGGGAAGAACAUAUGUGUAAGUAACUGUGCACAUCUUGACGGUACCUAAUCAGAAAGCCACGGCCAACUACGUG
rnacentral:rRNA from 1 species